GACGUAGGGCGCAAGCGUUGUCCGGAUUUAUUGGGCGUAAAGAGCUCGUAGGCGGCUCGUUGCGUCGGCUGUGAAAAUCCGCAGCUUAACUGUGGGCCUGCAGCCGAUACGGGCGGGCUGGAGUUCGGUAGGGGAGAGUGGAAUUCCUGGUGUAGCGGUGAAAUGCGCAGAUAUCAGGAAGAACACCCGUGGCGAAGGCGGCUCUCUGGGACGGUACUGACGCUGAGACGCGAAAGCGUGGGGAGCGAACAGG
rnacentral:rRNA from 1 species